GGGAUCUUCGGACCUGGCGCCAGUAGAUGAGCCCGCGUGAGAUUAGCUUGUUGGUGGGGUAAUGGCCUACCAAGGCAACGAUCUCUAGCUGGUCUGAGAGGACGAUCAGCCACACUGGGACUGAGACACGGCCCAGACUCCUACGGGAGGCAGCAGUGGGGAAUAUUGGACAAUGGGCGAAAGCCUGAUCCAGCAAUGCCGCGUGUGUGAAGAAGGCCUGAGGGUUGUAAAGCACUUUCAAUCGUGAAGAAAAGUUAGCAGGCUAAUACCCUGUGACCUUGACGUUAACGAUACAAGAAGCACCGGCUAACUCCGUG
rnacentral:rRNA from 1 species